AUUGAACGCUGGCGGCAGGCCUAACACAUGCAAGUCGAACGAGUGGCGGACGGGUGAGUAAUGUCUGGGAAACUGCCUGAUGGAGGGGGAUAACUACUGGAAACGGUAGCUAAUACCGCAUACCAUCGGAUGUGCCCAGAUGGGAUUAGCUAGUAGGUGGGGUAAAGGCUCACCUAGGCGACGAUCCCUAGCUGGUCUGAGAGGAUGACCAGCCACACUGGAACUGAGACACGGGCCAGACUCUUACGGAAGGCAGCAGUGGGGAAUAUUGCACAGGGGGCGCAAGCCUGAUGCGGCCAGGCGGCGGGGAUGAAGAAGGCCUUCGGGUUGUAAAGUACUUUCAGCGGGGCGGCGUUACCCGCAGAAGAAGCCCCGGCUAACUCCGUGCCAGCAGCCGCGGUAAUUC
rnacentral:rRNA from 1 species